CUUUCGGAGCUGUGCGGCAUUCUGAGCAGGAAUGGCAGUGUGGACCUCUGUGAUGGGACAUCUUGUGGGAUCUCACAGCCAGUUCUGUGGCAAAGGAGGAUGAAGGCUUACGAGGACUCGUCAGGAAGCUGGAUAACAGAGCGAGCGCAAUGUGCUAGAAUAGAAGACCAGAAAAUGAAAUGGUGGAGUUUGAGGCUGGAUAGACAGUUUGAAAGUUAACUGGUUGCAUGCUUGUUCAUUUGGCUGGCUUGCUUGGGUACAAAUAAUGGUUUGAAUAAAGAAAGGUAUUAAUGGGUCACCUCAAGUGAAGGCACUGCAAACACAAUGGUAAGUCUUUGAAAUGUGCAUGUAUUAGUUACUUUCAACCCCUUCCAAACAAGCCGAUACCAUGAUGAUAACAUAGUUCAGCAGACUUAACUCUGAUGAACAAUCAUGUCUUUCGCUCCUAUCUGAUGUAUCUGGCUGUAAUGUUUUAAAGAGUUUUCCUUGAAUAGUAUUAGGAAAUACAAGAUAAGAGUCCCAAGUGAUGAGGCCAAAGCCUGAUGCUAAGGUGGCAUGUGCUGUGCCACUGACUUAACCCAGUAGGACAAUUUUAUUGUGAAAAAUACAUAAGUUCCCUAGGGUAUGACGAUUGAAACUAUAAAUCUCAGGCCUCUUGGCAAGAGAAUUGAUGUGAGCCCAUGGAGACUAGUGAAGACAACUGAACACUGAGAGAAUAGUGUGAAAUAAAAUGAAGAUAAGUAACUGCACUAAUUAUUUUUAAUUUUCAAACAGAUUGGUCAUUCUGAAUUUCCGGUCCUUCAUUCUGAAUUUCAAAGGCUCCUGUGACAAGUGGACAUGCAGUGACUGCACCUUUGUUUCUGAGGUGCCUGGAUGGAGGCUCAAAUAGAAGAUGGUGUCAGAUAUAUUGUGUUAAAAUUUUACCAUUAAAGUGUAUUAUAACAUGAA
rnacentral:lncRNA from 1 species